GGACCCGCACAAGCGGUGGAGCAUGUGGUUUAAUUCGAUGCAACGCGAAAAACCUUACCUACACUUGACAUACUUCGAAUUUUCUAGAGAUAGAUUAGUGCCUUCGGGAGCGAAGAUACAGGUGCUGCAUGGCUGUCGUCAGCUCGUGUCGUGAGAUGUUGGGUUAAGUCCUAUAACGAGCGCAACCCUUACCCUUAUUUGCCAGCGGUUAGGCCGGGAACUAUAAGGGAACUGCCGGUAAUAAGCCGGAGGAAGGUGGGGACGACGUCAAGUCAUCAUGGCCCUUACGUGUAGGGCUACACACGUGCUACAAUGGGAGAUACAGACGGUUGCUAAAGCGCGAGCUGGAGCCAAUCCGACAAAGUCUCUCGUAGUCCGAAUUGCAGUCUGGAACUCGACUGCAUGAAGCCGGAAUCGCUAGUAAUCGCGGAUC
rnacentral:rRNA from 1 species